rnacentral:rRNA from 1 species
GAUGAACGCUGGCGGCAUGCCUAACACAUGCAAGUCGAACGGACCUUUAUUUUUGAGAGUUCCUUUAUAGAAGUUCUCAAAAAUACUGGUUAGUGGCGGACGGGUGAGUAACACGUUGGUACCUACCCCUUAGUGGGGAAUAACUUCGAGAAAUCGAGGCUAAUACCGCAUAAUAUCUACGGAUUAAAGCAUUUAUGCGCUAAGGGAGGGGCCUGCGUCUGAUUAGCUAGUUGGUGAGGUAAAAGCUCACCAAGGCGACGAUCAGUAGCUGGAUCGAGAGGUUGACCAGCCACACUGGGACUGAGAUACGGCCCAGACUCCUACGGGAGGCAGCAGUGAGGAAUCUUCCACCAUGGGCGAAAGCCUGAUGGAGCAAUGCCGCGUGCAGGAUGACGGCCUUCGGGUUGUAAAGUACUUUCAGCGGGGAGGAAGGCGAUAAGGUUAAUAACCUUGUCGAUUGACGUUACCCGCAGAAGAAGCACCGGCUAACUCCGUGCCAGCAGCCGCCGUAA